rnacentral:lncRNA from 1 species
GAAAAAUACACAUACAAAUUCGUUGAAAGAGCCUUUAAGUCACUUGUUAUGGUUCUCAUAACUUGACUUGAUACAUUGGAAGUAUGAAUUCACAGUCCUAUAUAUACAACUUCGAGCCCUUCAGGUAACUACGUAACGCAGCCUGAUUCGUUCUCUUUGGACAAGAAAGAAGGUUUAUGAAGAGACGAAGACCAUUGUUCUUUUGCAAUUUCAGAUUGCUCCAGCUGUACUGAGCUUUACAGUUUUCCUCGCACUCUCCGAAGACUUGACCUUUGACAACAUCCCUGAAUCCUUUGAGUAGUUUGUCGCGCACAGUAUAGCGCCUCUUCGUCUGACACAUCCUGGAAAAUAACGAAGAGGCUCUACUCCUUUGGUUUCCUUUCUGAGUGGCAAAAUUCGGUAAAAUUUGUGGAUUAGCGCAGCUGGACGUCCCAAUUGCUCACUUUGAUGAGAAUAUGUUUCCUUGUCGACAAUAGAAAGUCAAUGGCUAUUGACUAACGAUGCAAUUAUAACUCUUUCCGAUUAUAAGAAGAAAAUGAAUAGUCAAAAACUUUGAUUAAAUAUGAAUAGAAAACAAGAAGAGCUCACAAGAAAUAAAUCCAACCUUAUUUUAUGCCAUUCAUGCUCCAAUAACUUUUCAUAUUCACCCAAUAAUGAUAGGGAAGAAGGCGUUUUUACGGAUCAACCAUGUGAGUAAUCUACUUUUUAUGAAUCGACGGUUGAAGAGGAGUCUCUGUCGUUGUAUUACAAAAAGAUUAAAAAAAAUCUCUUGAAAUAAUAUACAAAUUAUAAAUAUAUAUUAUGUAUGAAUAAAGUUGUACGAGAAACGAAUGCACAACUUGAACCAA